rnacentral:tRNA from 1 species
GAAGUUACAGCUUACAGGUAGAGUGCAUGCUUGGCAUGCAUGAGGUCCUGGGUUCAAUCCCCGGUAUAGUCA